rnacentral:antisense_RNA from 1 species
AUUCAUGUUUAAUUUUUAUGAGAUUCUUAUGUGAUAGUGACAACUGCACCCUUGACCUUGCUGAAGGAGGGGAGGCAUGAAGCUAAUCAGAAAAUUUUCUCUAAUAAGCUUUCAUAGAAGAGUUUUCCAAAUAAAAUGAAGAGGGCUAUCAUGGCAUAUCAAGUUUCUCUAAUUUUCAGGAAACAAAGAUACUAAUUUGCUUUACUCUUAGGGAUUCUUAAAAGGCCUCUUUUCUAACUGCAUAUUUAGAAUAUAUAAUCAGAGGACCAACGUUCAGUAUCCUUUUUUGUGCCAUCACUUUAAAAAGUGCAGCCAUGCUCCCCACUUAACUAUCUGGAGUUGAGAAAUGAUCUGGGAGUUAGCCCAGAAAUAGUGUGAACAGCUAGAGCCAAUAUUGACAAAUCCUUAUUCUGCAACCCCACAAGUUUCUCUCCUAGGGCUAGGGGAUAAGAAUGCAGCAGUGAACACGGUUCCUGCACUCAUGAAGCAAAUGUAUCCACUGUGGUACAAAAGAGACUGUAAAAAACAAACCCAAAUGGACAACAGACCCCAACUCCAGUUUAAAAACACCACCACUCAACAGCCUGUUUUCUGAGCCUAUGACCACAUAUAUGCUGCAGAACCCUUUCAGGGUGUAUCUGAAACUACUUCUCUUAAAGGCAAGCUCUAACUGGUGCCAGAAAAGACAGAAGCUGAUUGAGGUCCCAGCUUGGUAACAGUUUGAAGAGUUGCAGGACUGGCUGGAUGAGUACUGGCUGCAGCAAGUCAGGCUGCCAGGAUUCUUUAUGGCUGUUUCUGCUUCCACUACAGCUGAGUCAGAAAGGUCGCUGCCCAGUGG